AAAUCCUUAUCAAAAUUCUAAGUGCCUUAGCAGAAGAAAAUACCUGUACUGGAUUGUAAAGACAGGAGUGGACCGUUUUAUUAAUGUUCAGUGUCCUUUGUCUUAAGAUUUGGUGCAAUAUAU
rnacentral:snoRNA from 1 species